AGAAUACAAACCAAAGGCCCUUGUAAAAAGCGUGAGUCAGAGCUUGUCCUUUCAGAUGGUGAGCCAUGCCGCAGCUUUAAAUAUACCAACUUCGCCCGGGGCCCAAGGACACCCAGGGCACAAUCACCCACUCCUCAGAGGUUCCUGAAACAUGAUUUUUCAGCCUUCUUUGUAAUAAGUGACCCUGAAGAAACCCACAAUAUCUUUGCUUUUUUCUUCUGCAUCAUCAGUGUCGUCAGCAUCAACAGCAUGAAUCUUAAUCAUCAACGCCACAAGUAUUGCUGUCAUCCACAUAACCAUAAUCAAUUUCAUAUCCUUCAUCACUGUCCUCCUCUGCCUCAUUAUCAGCGCCGCAAUCAUCAUCAUCAUCAUCUUACUCUAACUCCUCAUUGCUCCAUUUCCUCCCCGGCCCUCCGGCUGACCUGUUCCUCUCCCUGUCCCGAUUUCCUCCCUUCUGAUGAGUAACUUGGGCAGUCUACGUCUGACGGAAGGACACGCUGUUUGACUCACUAGUCAGUUCUGGCUGAGACAAAACCACAUCAGUGCGCAGCAGAGCAGCCAAGAAGAGCCAGUCACAUCCUGACAAGGAAGAUGAGCUGUUCUUUAGUGGACAAACAGCGGAAUGGAGGUUCCAGAGGUUCCAGGUCCCAAACAACCGUCAAAUAAAAAAUGAAUGGAAAGACGAUGGCAAAGGAUGGCAGAGAGAAAGGAGCGACUUUCACCCUAAAGAAGUGGGCAGUGUGAGAUCCAACCCAUUCUUAACAGAAUAAAAACGCACAGACAAAA